AUUGAACGCUGGCGGCAGGCUUAACACAUGCAAGUCGAACGAGUGGCGGACGGGUGAGUACUGCUUGGGAAUCUGGCUUAUGGAGGGGGAUCACGACGGGAAACUGUCGCUAAUACCGCGUACCAUAGGAUGAGCCCAAGUGGGAUUAGGUAGUGGGGGGGGUAAUGGCCUACCAAGCCGACGAUCUCUAGCUGGUCUGAGCGGAUGACCAGCCACACUGGAACUGAGACAAGGUCAAGACUCCUACGGGAGGCAGAAGUGGGGAAUAGUGCACAAUGGGAGCAAGCCUGAUGCAGCCAUGCGGCGUGUGUGAAGAAGGCCUUCGGGGUGUAAAACACGUUCAGCGGGGAGGCGUUACCCGCAGAAGAAGCACCGGCUAACUCCGUGCCAGCAGCCGCGGUAAUAC
rnacentral:rRNA from 1 species